rnacentral:misc_RNA from 1 species
UUUCCGUAGGUGAACCUGCGGAAGGAUCAUUAAAAAUGAAGCCGGGAAACCGGUCCUUCUCACCCUUGAUUAUCUCAAUUUGUUGCUUUGGUGGGCCGCGCAAGCACCGGCUUCGGCUGGAUCGUGCCCGCCAGAGGACCACAACUCUGUAUUGUAUGUCGUCUGAGUACUAUAAAAUAGUUAAAACUUUCAACAACGGAUCUCUUGGUUCUGGCAUCGAUGAAGACGCAGC